rnacentral:lncRNA from 1 species
CAACUCGACUUGGAAGCAAUCCAACAGAGCAGCUGUUGUGGCUAGUGGAGGUUCCCAAAUACCUGUCAUGAGUGGUCUGAAGCUUCUGGAAGUAGUGAAGUAGGGAAGCUGCAGACUGCCAAGAAUCAGAGAAAGUCUGAGCUGUCAUUUACUUUGAAUGAGGAACUUAAAAACAUUCACAAUAUUGGUGGACAACCCACCCAUCAGCACACCUAGGGUGCCUCAGUUUCUUGUGCAAGGGCUCAGAGGGCAGAUGCUCACAGUGUUGACUAAGCGUGCACCGAGUAAGCUCUCACUGGAAGGAACAGUGGUACAGUGAGAGGAAUGCCAACCAGCUGCAAAUUAAAACUACAUGAGACUGAAGAGAAUGCAAACACAGGAAUCUGCCAAACCUGCCAAAACCCUGCAGAAACCGGACAAGGUUGUCACAGCUGGUUAUAAACCUGUUGCUAAUCAUCAGUGUAAUAUUGCAUAUGAGAAGAAAAAGAAAGAAGAGGGAAAGAGGGUGCAGGCUGAUAAAGACCACGUUUUAUCCUUGCUAUUUGCUGCCUUCGAGAAACACCAGUGUUACAACAUAAAGGAUGUGGUUGGCAUCACAAUGCAACCUGUGUGUGCCUCAAGGAAAUCUUGAAUGAGACGGGUGUUUGAAAUGUCAGUGGUCCCCACAAAAGCACAUGGAGCUGAAGGCAGAGACUGACAUUAUCCGGCAGCAGCCAAGAGU